ACACACACACACACAAACACACUAAAAACAAAAAUAAAUAAAUAAAUAAAUAAAAAUAAACGAACCAUGGCAACAUUACCCUUAUCCUACAUCUGGCAACACUGCUGGACUAGUUUUAAGGGGAACUCAAUCAUUUUACUUUGACCAGCUGACCUUUAUUUUAUUUGAUUUUUUUUUGACUCAUGGACAAGUUGGCAACACUGCGACCUGGAAACCAACAUUGUUCCAGUCUCUUUCCAGAUCUGAGCGCGGGAGGACGUGUGUGUGUGUGUGUGUGUGUAUGUGAGUGUGUGCGCGCGCGUCUCUAGAAAAGAAUAAGUUAAUAUUUUUUGGAAUUGUGUAAAAAAAGUGCGCAAAGAAAAUGAGAUUGUUUACAUAUUGUUCAGCGGUUCCUGGUACAAGUUUGGUGGGCUUCCUAACGAGCAGGAAAUUACUAAUAACUGCACCGUUUACGAUUACAAAUAUACAGGAUCUGGCUACGAGGUGACGGAAAGCGGACUCAAUGAAGCUGGAGAAAAG